GGUUAAGCGACUAAGCGUACACGGUGGAUGCCCUGGCAGUCAGAGGCGAUGAAGGACGUGCUAAUCUGCGAUAAGCGUCGGUGAGGUGAUAUGAACCGUUAUAACCGGCGAUUUCCGAAUGGGGAAACCCAGUGUGUUUCGACACACUAUCAUUAACUGAAUCCAUAGGUUAAUGAGGCGAACCGGGGGAACUGAAACAUCUAAGUACCCCGAGGAAAAGAAAUCAACCGAGAUUCCCCCAGUAGCGGCGAGCGAACGGGGAGGAGCCCAGAGCCUGAAUCAGUGUGUGUGUUAGUGGAAGCGUCUGGAAAGGCGCGCGAUACAGGGUGACAGCCCCGUACACAAAAAUGCACAUAUUGUGAGCUCGAUGAGUAGGGCGGGACACGUGGUAUCCUGUCUGAAUAUGGGGGGACCAUCCUCCAAGGCUAAAUACUCCUGACUGACCGAUAGUGAACCAGUACCGUGAGGGAAAGGCGAAAAGAACCCCGGCGAGGGGAGUGAAAAAGAACCUGAAACCGUGUACGUACAAGCAGUGGGAGCCUCUUAAUGGGGUGACUGCGUACCUUUUGUAUAAUGGGUCAGCGACUUAUAUUCUGUAGCAAGGUUAACCGAAUAGGGGAGCCGAAGGGAAACCGAGUCUUAACUGGGCGUUAAGU
rnacentral:rRNA from 1 species